CUUACACAUGCAGUCGAGGGGUAGAAGUCUUCGGACUUUGAGACCGGCGCACGGGUGCGUAACGCGUAUGCAAUCUACCUUUUACAGAGGGAUAGCCCAGAGAAAUUUGGAUUAAUACCUCAUAGUAUUACGACUCGGCAUCGAGAUGUAAUUAAAGUCACAACGGUAAAAGAUGAGCAUGCGUCCCAUUAGCUAGUUGGUAAGGUAACGGCUUACCAAGGCUACGAUGGGUAGGGGUCCUGAGAGGGAGAUCCCCCACACUGGUACUGAGACACGGACCAGACUCCUACGGGAGGCAGCAGUGAGGAAUAUUGGACAAUGGGCGCAAGCCUGAUCCAGCCAUGCCGCGUGCAGGAUGACGGUCCUAUGGAUUGUAAACUGCUUUUAUACAGGAAGAAACACCUCUACGAGUAGAGACUUGACGGUACUGUAAGAAUAAGGAUCGGCUAACUCCGUGCCAGCAGCCGCGGUAAUACGGAGGAUCCAAGCGUUAUCCGGAAUCAUUGGGUUUAAAGGGUCCGUAGGCGGUUUAGUAAGUCAGUGGUGAAAGCCCAUCGCUCAACGGUGGAACGGCCAUUGAUACUGCUAGACUUGAAUUAUUAGGAAGUAACUAGAAUAUGUAGUGUAGCGGUGAAAUGCUUAGAGAUUACAUGGAAUACCAAUUGCGAA
rnacentral:rRNA from 1 species